GUGUUUAGAAAAUUUCGUUCACAGAAACUACAUGUCAAAACAUAGAGGUGGCUCCUAUAAAGAAUGCGAACAACCGUUUGUGGAGUUCAAUUUAGUAUUGCAAAAUAACAAAAGAUUUCAAUAUAUCUUUAUAUAUUGUAGAAAAUUACGAGAAUAAACUACACUACAAGAUCAUCUUCUCAUUAUCUCUCUAAAUAUUCUCUCCAUCUCGAGCUUCCUCUUUGAUCUCCGGUGAUCGACUCCGGUGGCUUCUCAAGCACCGGAGUCGGUCGAUCCUUUCGUUUCUUCUUGUUUUUCUUCGGUGGUGGGAUCGAAGAUUCAAGGAUGCAUGAUGUUUGCUCUGGUCGGGAUUUAGUCCUUUUGCAGCAAGAGUUACCGGAUCUUUCCGAUCAUCCGUGUGGUUUACCCACUUUGUCUCUUGUCUGCGAUUGGCUCUAAAUCUUUUUUGUUUUGUCCACCAGAUGAUGUUGAAUCGGUUCACUUCCUGCUUGCAUGUCUCUGUUUCCUCUGUGAUUUGCUCUGGAUUCAUUUCAGGGCUUUAACUUCCCGGAAAACCUUGUUUUCGCCGGCCAUAGUUUCCAGGGAACCUGUGUUCUGCUGGCUCAGUGUAUCAUCCAUGUAUCUCAAUUUCGAAUCCGUCAAUGUUAUAUAAUA